rnacentral:lncRNA from 1 species
AUACCUUUCAAAUAUCUCGAUUUCUCUUUCCUUUUCCCGCGCUAUAUCAAAACACUCCCUGUAAACGUAGAAGCUGUUUCAUGUAUACUGCCUUUCUAUAACCACAGCAGGGCAAUACAACGAAAAGAAAAGAUGAAAAAUAAAGAAUAAAUCAAUAUGUGCAAUUUAUAGAAGUAGUGUCUCAUUAAUAAUAGAUUUAGUAAGUUAUUAUACACAUUUAUACUAAGGAUCAUCACAAACACACCCGCCCCUACACGUCAACCGGGAGGACCAGUUGUGUUGUUGUUGUUGGUGGUGGUGGUGGUGUGUCCUAUCUUGCCAUACACCCAUACACACCCACACACACCCAUACACAGCCAUACAUACUUAAAAACACACUUAUAUACCUCAAACACUCGCAAACACAGCCAUACAUACACUCAUAUACCUCAAACACAGCCAUACAUACACUUAUAUACCUCAAACACUCGUAAACACAGCCAAACACACCACAUACCCAUUUAGUGUUAGUCCUCAGUCUUGCCACACACACACACAGACAAACAUGCCCCCAAACACUCGUAAACACACUCAAACACCAAAUAACACACACAGACAUAAGUGUGCAGUGUUUAGGAGCACCAAGCAGUGAGUGAGACAGCAGUACACGGUGUCAGCGUACACCACAACCCUCCACAGCGCCCUCCGUUCAUGUGUGAGGCUCAGGCGUGUAGAUGGAAGCAACAGAAAGACUAAAAAAGGGAAACAGAGGAGGAGGAAUGAGAAAGGGAAGCGGAAGAAGAGGAGGAGUCAAGCCACAACAUUUAGGGGUCAUGUUGCUUGUGUGGCCAGUGUGAAUGUGACCGGGGGCUUGGCAGGGAUGACUGGGGGCUUGGGAAGGGUGGCAGGGGGGGCGAGGUACAGCCAAUACCCCCCGGCAUACAUGCCCUCAAAACUGCAGGAGAUGGAGGACAGCGGGGAGAUGAAGAAAUUUGAGUAGCGGGCGGUCCGAGCGGCCCACAGCACCCACACCACCUCCGUACUCCACCACCCGCUUGUCAGGUUGUUUCAAGAUAUAGAGGGAGAGAGAACAGCCAAGGAGGAGGAAGAAGAGGAACAGG